rnacentral:lncRNA from 1 species
GCUGAUCAUCUUCUAAUUUAAAACUUAUGACAACCGCAGUAUAUAAUCAUCACAAACAAAAAAGCAGCCAAAAACACAACUUCCAUGCUAACAAUAAUUUACGUUACAUUAACAAGUUCUCGUCAGAGCAGAACCAAAAGCUAAAAAACAGAUUAACUUCAAGUCCCAAGGCUACCGUUACUCGCGGAAUUUGAUUCUCAACUUCAAACCAAAUCCAAACAGAGAGACGAAGACAAGACUAAUAUUAAUUUACGCUUAAUUAAUAAUGAAGAUCAUGAAGACUAAUCAAAUCUCAUUGCUGAACAUGGUCUUGUUCUGAACCAAAGAGUUCUUGCAAUGAGCAAUUGCGCCUUGAAUUGCACUCUGAAGCUCCUCCAUCGACGAUCUGUCCACCGCUGCGUACGACGUUGUUGCUCCUGCUCUACCAGCACUCGAGCCACCUGCCGGUUGACCGGUCCGGGACAAAACACCUGAGUGGCUGGGCGAGCAGCGCAUCGAAGAUGGGCAGCUCGAAACACAGCCUCUCCUUCUUGGGUACCUCAAGUUACCCGAGAAGGAAUGAGAAAACCCGCCAUUAGUGCUCUCUCUAUUUCUCGCGCUGGCCUUGCCCGAUAACUCGUGAUCCGUACUACUCGUGACUUUCUCGGAUCUAAUCUCGGCCGACGACGCCGUUGUCAUUUUCUGUUGUUUUUGGGAGAGCUUCUCGUACAGUGGCUUGACCUUCUUCAUGUACUUUCUGAUAACCUCCUUGGCGGUGUUGCUUGCUCGCUUGACGGAGUUAGAUCCGGAGACGACGUCGUUGUGAUCCGCGUCCACGACCACUCUGUGUUGUUGUUUAUUCGGAUCCUUCUUGAACACAGAAGAGAAUCUCGACAAAGAGAAGUACUUGCUGUUCUUCUUGAUCUGCGACUGGGAGCUCAAGUUAUGGAUUUGAAGAACAUCUUGCUUGACAACAACGUCGUUGGAUGAGUACUUGCUGUUGAGGCGCUUGAACUCGUCCUCCUCGGCGACGGAGCUCGGCCUGGCGGAGGAGUCGCACGAGUCACGUGAGUCGUUGGAGCUGCUGACGGUGGAGUCACGUGAGGAGGUGGUGUCGGAGGCCGCGGAGGAGGAAGAGGAAGACGAGGAGGGUAGGAGGAGGAGAGUGCGGACCAUGGAGAGGCG